rnacentral:rRNA from 1 species
UUGAACGCUGGCGGCAUGCCUUACACCUGCAAGUCGCACGGUAACAGGUCUUCGGAUGCUGACGAGUGGCGAACGGGUGAGUAAUACAUCGGAACGUGCCCAGACGUGGGGGAUAACGAGGCGAAAGCUUUGCUAAUACCGCAUACGAUCUAAGGAUGAAAGCAGGGGACCGCAAGGCCUUGUGCGUUUGGAGCGGCCGAUGGCAGAUUAGGUAGUUGGUGGGAUAAAAGCUUACCAAGCCGACGAUCUGUAGCUGGUCUGAGAGGACGACCAGCCACACUGGGACUGAGACACGGCCCAGACUCCUACGGGAGGCAGCAGUGGGGAAUUUUGGACAAUGGGCGAAAGCCUGAUCCAGCAAUGCCGCGUGCAGGAUGAAGGCCUUCGGGUUGUAAACUGCUUUUGUACGAAACGAAAAGGCUCUGGCUAAUACCUGGGGCACAUGACGGUACCGUAAGAAUAAGCACCGGCUAACUACGU